rnacentral:misc_RNA from 1 species
GAUGAAGAACGCAGCGAAAUGCGAUAAGUAAUGUGAAUUGCAGAAUUCAGUGAAUCAUCGAAUCUUUGAACGCACAUUGCGCCCGCCAGUAUUCUGGCGGGCAUGCCUGUUCGAGCGUCAUUUCAACCAUCAAGCCCCCGGCUUGUGUUGGGGACCUGCGGCUGCCGCAGGCCCUGAAAACCAGUGGCGGGCUCGCUAGUCACUCCGAGCGUAGUAAUACAUCUCGCUCAGGGCGUGCUGCGGGUUCCGGCCGUUAAAAAGCCUUAUUUACCCAAGGUUGACCUCGGAUCAGGUAGGAAGACCCGCUGAACUUAUGCAUAUCAAUAAGCGGAGGA